CAGGAAACCGAGAGGCUUCACUGAGCUAACUCCCCAGCCUCGUGAUGUAAUUGUUAUUUCUCAUUCGGAGACCAAACCGAGGAGAGCGGCUGAAGAAGUGGCAGCCUUGCUGUUUUUGCCUCGUCGGGCUGGGUCAGAUCCUUUCCGGGGAUGGUGGUGUAGCUCCGCUGGAGACUUCGCAGUGACAAAGCAGCUGAAGCUAAACCCUGCUCCUGGGUCCUACGUCCGUCCAGGGAGCCGAGCGGGGCACUCCUCAGGGAGUAUUUGGAUUGUGAGCUAUUUCAGAACUUUAUUCUCAGGACUCAUUAUUUUAUCGUUUGGGAGAAAAACAUCUAGAAGAUGCACAGUUGACUGAAGGAAUCAGUGAGUCUGAAGACUCCAGAUGACAUCAGAGCUGCUUGUCAGUAGCCUUCUCAAUUUCCUUUGUCAGAAAGCAGAGAGAUUCAAACCUCGGG